AGUAAGCUAAAACUAGAAUGUAAUUUUUAAAAAUAAAAAUUGAAACAAAAUAUUAAGCAAAAUUAAUUAAUAUUAAAUAAAAAUAAUUAUUAAAACAUUUUUGAUAUAAUAAAACUUGAUAAAAAUUAAAAUAGUUUUUCAGAAAAAAAGGAUAGAAGAAUAAAAUAUUAAAACGGUUUAAAUAAAUGUUUUUACAUAAAAUUAGAAUUUAAAAUUAAUUUUGAAAAGUAAAAUAUAAAAUAAAAUCAAAAAAAAUUAAAAGUACGCGUACACAAUCCAGUCCACAGACCAGAUGUGUACACGCGUCCCAGAAUAUAUACACACAACACUGUGUGUAUACAUAUGAGCGGGAUAGAUAGAAAAGUAAAAAAAAAACCGAGAGAAAAAAGAGAGACAGAGAGAGGAGAGGAGUAGAGAGGAGAGAAAGAGGAGAAGGGAGAGAGAGAGAGGAGAGAUGAAGGAGAAAGCUUACCGGAGAGAAGCUGAUGAGCUGAUGGAGAUGAAAAGGAGUCGCUGCCGUAUGUUUCGAGAUGUUUGCAGCAGAUGUAUGCAGCAGCAGAUGUUAGAUUCACGGUCUCGGACAAGCUACCUGAUAUGAUGCUGAUUGAAAUCGUCCAAGAUUCUUUAUCAAUGCAAGCGUGUUCCGGUGGUGGUUUCUCAUUACUUCUUUUCUGUGGUAUUGCUGCAUUGCACUGAUUCGGUAAAUGGACAAUUCAGAGGUAGUUCUACAUUAUCAAAAUCGAAGUCUUCAUUCA